ACCCGGCGGCGGUGGGCGGCUACGAGCUGCUGGACCGCCUCGGUUCGGGCGGGAUGGGCAUGGUCUAUCUGGCCCGGUCCGCGUCCGGCCGUCGGGUG
rnacentral:tRNA from 1 species